GCCAGCUUCUCCUAACAGCAAAGGGGAAGAGCCACCACUGGCAACCUCUCUUCUAUCCUCAAUGGAAGAGGGUCGCUUGAAUCAAAUUUUGGAUGGUGAAAUAAUAGUCGAUGAAACAACUUCUGAGACGGCCAAAAAGGUGGCGGAUCUGGCAAAAAAAUGUUUAAGGUCAAAAAGGGAGGAAAGGCCUUCCAUGGAGCAAGUAGCCGUGGAGCUUGAGGGAUUGCGCAAAUUUAUGGCAAAGUAUCAAAGGGGAGAACCCAGUUUCUCAAACAGGCCAACCUCUUUGCAACCGUAAACAACAAUAAUAAUAAAAUAUAAAUAAUUAAACAAGCAAUCAAGGUUCAAACUCUAAUUAGUGUUGUUUGCAGAUGCUUUAUUAAUCUAAUUAGUGAAUAAUUCUCUGUUUAUAUUCGUGCUUAUACUCUAAUUAGUUCCUGUUAAUCUUGUAAUCAACUCACCACUAGUGUCUUGUACGCGUUGGUGAAGAAGUUGACAACGCUGGAUCCGAAUCAUAAAUUACCUAUUGCCCCCACAGAAAUCCAAAUUGCUGGCUGCGACCGUUUUCUUCAGCAGGGCUUCUAUGCCUCCUAUCCCCAUUCUUGUCCCCUUCAACAUCAUCAAUAGGACUCCUACUGUAAUCAGAUCUGCGAUCCUGUGGGGAGGGUCUUGUGCUUUUUCCCCGCUCUCCGCUGAUCUGGAUCGAUUGCACAUUAAAAAAGCAACAUGAAUAAUUGAGUUUAAACAGAAACUAAACCGAAGAGUAUGCUCGGCUUUCUCGUGAUAUCAUAGCCGUUGAUAUCAAUACCAAUAACACCCAGGCGUCCUUCUUCUGCCGGUGAAUGGGACAAGUCUUUGCUUCACGUGGGCGCUAGGCUUUCUCGCGAGGCCCGCUUGGGUUUAUGGGCUGCAACCAACCACACUAAUAUAUUUAAGACACUGCCGUUGGGCUUCAAGCUUUAGACCCCAAAACAGGUCCAUUGGGGGAUGGUUUGGUGGAUUCAGUUUCUAACUGUUGCAGC
rnacentral:lncRNA from 1 species